rnacentral:lncRNA from 1 species
UGCCACUUAUAAAUUCUGUCAUCUUAAGACAAGUUAAACUUGUUUAGUAAUAGGAUCUCACUCAUAGUAUCGUAAUAAGGAUUAAAUGAACUAAAACAUGCUCACAGAAAUUAUCUGGUGCAUAAUAAUUGCCCAAUAGGGAUUUACCACUGGCUUUGGUAUCUACAUUACUUCCGGUAACUCAAGACUUUUCACAGAGGCUCAUUUACUCUUCUCCUGAAAUACAUUCUUUACAAAUUCCCAUGGAGAAGAUUUUUUCGGUGAUUCUUCAGUUUUGAUCUGUCCAAAAAUGUCUUUAUUUUACAAUUCUGAAAGAAAGACUACUGUGAACAGAGUUUUAGGUUGAUACUCUUUUCUCUCAAUGCAUUGAAGAUUGUAUUAGACCAUCGUUCCUCUCCCAAAAUGCUGAUGGGAAGCGCAGUGAGCCUUUACUUUAUGGGUUAUCUGUCUUUUGUUCUGUGUCUAUUUUAAGAUCUGUCUGUCUCAGUCACUUCUUUUUCUCUUCUUUUCAUGUACUAAAUCUAGAUGUCAUUUAAAAAAUAUCUGGACUCUUUAGACUUUCUGGAUCUGAGGAUUAAGAAUUUUUCUCAAUUUAAUCUUUUCACAUCUUCUGUCUCCCUUAGUCUUUUUUUUUCUGAAACUACAAUGAGAUGUAUGUAAAAUCUGCACAUUUUGUUGUGCGUUUCUCUCAUAUUUUUCUGCCUCUCUGCGCUGCAAUAUGGGAUAGUUCUUCUUUCUUCUUUCCAUGUGAAAACAUCUUUCACUGUACUGCUUCUCCUUCCAUUUGUGCUAUUUCACAUCAGUCUUUCACUAUACUACUUAUUUCCAUCUCCACUCAGUUUCACAUCCGCCUCUCAGUGCGCCCCGCCUCCAUCUCCACUCACUUUCACAUCCGCCUCCCAGUGCACCAGGUCUCCUUCCAUCUCUCCUCAGGUUCAUGUCCACCUCUCAGUGCGCUCCGUCUCCUUCCAUCUCCACUCACUUUCACAUCCGGCUCUCAGUGUGCCACGUCUCCUUCCAACUCUCCUGAGUUUCACAUCCGGCUCUCAGUGCGCCACGUCUCCUUCCAUCUCCCCUCAGUUUCACAUCCGCCUCUCAGUGCGCCAGGUCUCCUUCCAUCUCCACUCAGUUUCACAUCUGGCUCUCAGUGCGCCAGGUUUCCUUCCAUCUCUCCUGAGUUUCGCAUCCGCCUCUCAGUGCGCCCCGUCUCUUUCCAUCAACACUCAGUUUCAGUCUCCUUCCAUCUCCCCUCAGUUUCACGUCCGGCUCUCAGUGCGCCACGUCUCCUUCCAUCUCUCCUCAGGUUCACGUCCACCGCUCAGUGCGCCAGUCUCUUUCCAUCUUCCCUCAGUUUCACAUCCGCCUCUCACUGCGCCACGUCCCCCUCCAUCUCUCCUGAGUUUCACAUUCCGCUCUCAGUGCGCCCCGCCUCCAUCUCCACCCACUUUCACAUCCGCCUCUCAGUGCGCCAGUGUCUUUCCAUCUGUCUUGAGUUUCAAUCCGCCUCUCAGUGCGCGCCGUCUCUAUCCGCCUCCCAGUGCACCAGGUCUCCUUCCAUCUCUCCUCAGGUUCAUGUCCACCUCUCAGUGCGCCCCGUCUCUUUCCAUCAACACUCACUUUCACAUCCGGCUCUCAGUGUGCCACGUCUCCUUCCAUCUCUCCUGAGUUUCACAUCUGCCUCUCAGUGCGCCCCGCCUCCAUCUCCACUCACUUUCACAUUCAGCUCUCAGUGCACCAUGUGUCCUUCCAUCUCUCCUGAGUUUCACAUCCGUCUCUCAGUGCGCCAGGUCCCCUUCCAUCUUCCCUCAGUUUCACAUCUGCCUCUCAGUGUGCCAUGUGUCCUUCCAUC